rnacentral:rRNA from 1 species
UAAUAUCGAAAGAUUAAAGUGUGGGACCUUCGGGCCACAUGCCAUAGGAUGAGCCCAAGUGGGAUUAGGUAGUUGGUGAGGUAAAGGCUCACAAAGCCGACGAUCUCUAGCUGGUCCGAGAGGAUGACCAGCCACGCUGGGACUGAGACACGGCCCAUACUCCUACGGGAGGCAGCAGUGGGGAAUAUUGCGCGAAUGGGGGCAACCCUGACGCAGCCAUGCCGCGUGAAUGAAGAAGGUCUUCGGGUUGUAAAGUUCUUUCGGUAGCGAGGAAGGCAUUUAGUUUAAUAGACUAGGUGAUUGACGUUAACUACAGAAGAAGCACCGGCUAACUCCGUGCCAGCAGCCGCGGUAAUACGGAGGGUGCGAGCGUUAAUCGGAACAACUGGGCGUAAAGGGCACGCAGGCGGUGACUUAUGUGAGGUGUGAAAGCCCCGGGCUUAACCUGAGAAUUGCAUUUCAUACUGGGUCGCUAGAGUACUUUAGGGAGGGGUAGAAUUCC